UACGGGGGGUGCGAGCGUUGUCCGGAAUCACUGGGCGUAAAGGGCGCGUAGGUGGCUUGGCAAGCGCGUGGUGAAAGCCCGGGGCUCAACCCCGGGUCUGCCGUGCGAACUGCUAUGGCUUGAGCACUGUAGAGGCAGGUAGAAUUCCGGGUGUAGCGGUGGAAUGCGUAGAGAGUCCGGAAGAAUACCGGUGGCGAAGGCGGCCUGCUGGGCAGUGGCUGACACUGAGGCGCGGACAGCGUGGGGAGCAAACAGGG
rnacentral:rRNA from 1 species